UACGUAGGGUGCGAGCGUUGUCCGGAAUUAUUGGGCGUAAAGGGCUCGUAGGCGGCCAACUAAGUCGGACGUGAAAUCCCUCGGCUCAACCGGGGAACUGCGUCCGAUACUGGAUGGCUUGAGUUCGGGAGAGGGAUGCGGAAUUCCAGGUGUAGCGGUGGAAUGCGCAGAUAUCAGGAGGAACACCAAUAGCGAAGGCAGCUCGCUGGGACGUUACUGACACUGAGGCGCGAAAGCGUGGGGAGCGAACAGG
rnacentral:rRNA from 1 species